rnacentral:tRNA from 1 species
AGUUCAGUGGUCUAAGGGUUAUGAUAUCUGCUUCACACGCAGAUGGUUCAGGGUUCGAGACCCUGCUGAACUA